rnacentral:rRNA from 1 species
AAUAGAUACCCGGGUAGUCCAUGCCGUAAACGUUGGGCACUAGGUGUGGGGCUCAUUCCACGAGUUCCGUGCCGCAGCAAACGCAUUAAGUGCCCCGCCUGGGGAGUACGGCCGCAAGGCUAAAACUCAAAGGAAUUGACGGGGGCCCGCACAAGCGGCGGAGCAUGCGGAUUAAUUCGAUGCAACGCGAAGAACCUUACCAAGGCUUGACAUGCACGGGAAGCCACCAGAGAUGGUGGUCUCUUUGGACACUCGUGCACAGGUGGUGCAUGGUUGUCGUCAGCUCGUGUCGUGAGAUGUUGGGUUAAGUCCCGCAACGAGCGCAACCCUGUCCCAUGUUGCCAGCGGGUUAUGCCGGGGACUCAUGGGAGACUGCCGGGGUCAACUCGGAGGAAGGUGGGGAUGACGUCAAAUCAUCAUGCCCCUUAUGUCUUGGGCUUCACGCAUGCUACAAUGGCCGGUACAAAGGGCUGCGAUGCCGUAAGGUGGAGCGAAUCCCAAAAAGCCGGUCUCAGUUCGGAUUGGGGU